GACGAACCGUCCAAACGUUAUUCGGAAUCACUGGGCUUAAAGGGUGCGUAGGCGGCCCGGAAAGUUGGAUGUGAAAUCCCUCGGCUCAACCGAGGAACUGCAUUCAAAACUACCGGGCUUGAGGGAGAUAGAGGUGAGCGGAACUCAGGGUGGAGCGGUGGAAUGCGUUGAUAUCCUGGGGAACACCAGUUGCGAAGGCGGCUCACUGGGUCUCUUCUGACGCUGAGGCACGAAAGCUAGGGGAGCGAAGAGG
rnacentral:rRNA from 1 species